CAAUUCAUCACUCACAACAAAAUACUGGGUUUUGCGUAUAUUUAUUCUAAUUUAACUAUUUCUUCAAAAUACUUUUGAAGUGGAUCAAUUUUAUGGUUAACACACUUAAAACGCUAACUAUUUCUACAAUUGUGAGAUCCAAUUACGUCAAAAUGCUGGAUAUGGUGAUAUCUACAGUGUGCGUAUUACUGAUUAUGGCACUGUUGAGUUGCUUAUGCUGUUUGUGUAUGAAGUACAGUGACCUGAAAAUGAAAUUAUACAUCAUUGAAAUGGCAAAGAAAAGAGGUGUGAAGGUGGACCUUGACCAACUCGACGGGAAAAAACCUCAUCAAUCUCCGUUAGCCAACGAGAAUUGUACAAUCGUCAUACCUGAAGUUGGUAUUAUACUUUAGCUUAGCAAGAUGCGUCAAUAUGGUCCAACCUGAUUCUAGUAAGCAUUUGAGCUCCGAAUAUCCGAGUUUGAGUCUGCAGUAUCUCUUAGCUGAAGUAUUCACAAGCUCAAGAUUGUUUAGUUCUACUCUAAAUAUGCUAACUUCAACGCACAACGAUGCAUAGAUGGUUUUGAAGUCAUUUUAUAUUUACAAUAUGAUUGUUAUAUUUAAUACUUAGUCAUCAUCAUCAGCCCAUUAACGUCCCCACUGCUGGGGCACGGGCCUUCCCUAUGGAUGGAUAGGGAGAUCGGGCCCCAAACCAUCACGCGGGCCCAGUGCGGAUUGAUGGUUAUUAACGACCGCUAAUGCAGCCGGGACCAACGGCUUAACGUGCCUUCCGAAGCACGGAGGAGCUUGAGAUGAAUUUUUUUGUGGUCACCCAUCCUGUGACCGGCCUUUGCGAAAGUUGCUUAACUUCAACAAUCGCAGACGGAGCGCGUUUACCGCUGCGCCACCGAGCUCCUCAAUACUUAGUAAUGAUACUCAUUUAUUCAUAAAAUACUUAAAUUUUUAAUGGAAAACCAUUAUUGAUGGUAAUAAAUGCAUUAAGAUUUAAUGCUCCAUUUCACGGAGAAUGUGUAUGUAUGUCCUGUCAAACUUUAUAAGCCCAAUUUAUUUUAUUAGUAAGUUUAGGAAAAGUUAAGUUUUACCUUUUAGAGCAAUGUCUAUGCAUUUUUUUUAAGUUACUUAUUUUAUCAAUAUUUGUUUAGAUAACCAAUUGUCGUAAUAAAAGAAAGAUAAAUAUUGGUAGGUAACAUAUUUCUUGACUCAAUUGGGUAGUUUCCUAGGUCAAAGAUAAAAUCUUUUCCUAUUUAUGUUUUUUAAGAAAGAAAAAUGUAAUAAUAAGUGCGACAUUUUGUUACGUUUUUCUAUGACGUCACAGGUUGCUUUCUCCUUCGAUAGUAAUUUCAUGUUUUGACGUUUAGUAUUUUUACUAAACAUCAAAACACGAAACUGAUUUGAUUAAUUGGAAACUACCCUAUUAUGACUUUUAUCGCAAAUGUAGCAUUUUCUAGUCUACAACUAAUUAGUGCAUCUCUUUUAUGACUAUAAAAGACUAAAAUAGACUGUAGUUCUCUUAUGACAUUUAUUAUAAAUUAGUAUUUUAUUACGACUUUUCAGUAAAUAACCAAUGUUGCUUAUUACUUUCUUAUCAAUUUUAUAAAAUAAUUAUUAACGAUAAUUUAAAAAUGGAAGCUAUAUUCUAAACUUUACACCUACAUGGGAUUAAAUGGUGUCUUAAAAUAUUGUUGAUAAGUAUUAUAUUAUUAUUAAAUUAACAUUUUAUAAUAUAGGAAGGGAAAGUUUCUAAUAAUUUUCUUGUAAUUUUCAUAAAAAGAUUAUUGAUUGUUGUAGUAUUACCCCCAGUACCGGACUUCAAUCAAUGAUUAAUAAUUGAUCUUAUGUGUAAUUUUCACUAAUGGUGGCCAUACACCAUCCUUCCUAUCGUCCAAUCGGCAUGACGCGAUCGAUUGGAUCAAAUCGAAUUGACCGUAUGUGGGCGUGGAUUGUGCCGUCAAAUAGAUUGGACAUGCCAAUCCACGCCCACAUACGGUCAAUUCGAUUUGAUCCAAUCGAUCGCGUCAUGCCGAUUGGACGAUAGGAAGGAUGGUGUAUGGCCACCAUAACACAACUGGCGCGCCAAAUAGCGAUACGACUCUCCACCUAUCACGUUGGUCUAACAAAAAGCGUGAACCUUGCGAAGCUACGCUUCUCUGAUCAGCCCUAUUGCGAAUAUAGUCGUGAGCGUGAGUUAUGUCUAGUAAAAUCAUAUAUCUUUAUAGUUUGUUCGAAAAGCGUUUUCUAACUAGUAUUACCACUAUUGUUGCAUAGUGUGAAAUGGCCCAAAUUUGUAUGGCUGCUGUUUACCAACAUAACAACCGAAAACUUGGUUAUAACCGACAUUUGUGUCUUAUACACUUACAAUACAGAAACUUAUGUAAAGUUGUGGAAAUUAAUUAGGAAUAUGUUGCUAUUUUGCGGCAAAAAGUGGAACUAUGUCUGCUACAGUAUUAUUUAUUACAUUUAUUAAUUGGAUUACGCGUAAUAAUGCAAAAACUGUCUUUGGUCUUUUACUGAGAGCUGCCAAUUACUUGAACGAUAAUUAUUAUAAUUAAAUAUAGUUCCUAUACUUAUGUAGUUUUUACCCAUUUACUUAGUGUUACUCGUAAAUAUUGAUGUAGGCGAUUGUGACGGACGAAACUUAAUUUUACUUCUGUGUUUGAUUAACGAACUUUAUAUCGAACGACAUAAUAAUAGUAAUAGUAACAAUAAAAAUAGUAAUAUACUGGCCCCUAAUUUGAUUUUAAGUUAUACCUGUCAUUUUCUUAUCCGCCGAAAAGAAAAGGGACGGAUGAUUGUCAGUUGUUAAUUUUAAAAUAGAUGAAUAACCCGGGCGAAUAAAAUAGGUAUCUCGCUGGUUUGCAAACCGUUUGGCAUGUGCUGUCAACUUAAUUCUGUCGGGUUAUCGGCCAAUGUAAUAUUUUUAAAGGGUUGUUUUAGAUUUGUGUCUAAAAUUUGCGUGUGUUCCAUAAAUUUUAUGUCUGUCGAACCUUUACUUUUCGGCGGAUAAAAAAUAUUAAGUAUAACUUAAAAUAAAAUUAGAUGGUGUCUAUAGCAAUUAGCACCACUAUGUUUAGUGCUGUCAAACUAAAUUAAAAUUAAGUUUAGUCUCCCUAAAUCGGCACUAGUGUGUCCUAAAGUGUAAACCCAAUUUAUAUAAUCUUAACUGCUAUUGUAUUUCGUAAGGAUAUUUGAACGAAUGAUCUCAUAUUUUAUUGUUAUUUACUCCCAAAAUGAUGCUAAAAUGCCUUGAUGUUUCUAGUCAUUUUAUUGUGCAAUAAUUCUAGUAUUGUAGUUUUAGAAUUAGACUGAAUAGACGAAAUUAAGUAAUUUAUGCUAGUACUGAGAUAUUCAUAAUGAUUCUUAGGAACUUUGAACCGUUUAUAACGCUGUUUUUAGUAGGAAAUAGGUGCCGAUGUCGGCAGGCACAAACUAAUCUCAUUUAGUAAAGCUCUAUAAUUAGUUCCUUGCUUCAUAUAAGGGCUUAUUAAACCUUCCUUUCCGGCAGGGAUGCGUCAAGCUCACGGGGGUUACUAUGGUUACUCCUCACCAACGCCUGUUUGCCGAUCAGAUCGUGUAGUCUAAUAGCAAAUCGGCGGGUCGUAACCAUGGCAAACACGAUCUCGAGCGAGGUGGGGGGAGUAACCAUGGUAACCACCCUUGACCUUGACGUAUCUAGACGGGGAGUGUAAGAAAGAAACAGAGCUAGUUAUAGAACUAAGUUGGUGUCUGUCAGAAUCACUGUAGCAUGCAUAUGACAAUGUAUAAUUAAAUUCCAAUGCUAUGACUUAACCGCCUUAGUAGUCUUGUACUUUUUCUAAAGAUCUCUACCAGAGAGAAAUAUUUUCUAAAAUCUUAUAAUUACCUGCAACUUAGGUGCCUACUAGAGGAUAUAGUAGUAAUACACUGGUCCAAUAUGGCGUGUUUAAAAUAGUGUUCAAUUAUAUAUUCUAGUAGCAAUGAACAAAACAUAUUUUUGCUUCCGCAAAAACUAUUUUCUAAAGUAUUUUCUUACAAGUCUUUUAUUAAUACUUCUUUAGAAAGAAAAAUCUUUUUUGUAAAAGGAAAUAUUAAACAAGUUAUUCAACUUUAUGCUAAAGAGAAAAAGCAUUCAGUGUUAAUAUCCUUAGAUGGCAACUCAUUUUAUUAUAUACUUACUUACUAGAAUAUUAUUAACAUUAUAUUUAAUGUAAAGUAUUGUAAGAUUCUAAAAGAUGAGAGAAACGUACUAAUUUAGUGUUGAAAAUGUUUGUUAUACGGGCGAUGAUUUUUCUAUCUAAUAUUACAUUAUAUUGUCUUUAAAAUUGUGGACAUCACAGCGAAUUCGGCGAUAAAUUCAAAUUAAAAAGCGGAGCUAUGAUUUCCAUCGCACAAUAAAAAUCUUUAUCUUUAUCGUCUGUUUCUGACCCAUAAAAAUAGGGUUGGUUAGGGAAAUCCAUAGAGUUGUCUUUCAUCCUCCAAAUUGAAUGAAAUCAAAAAGCAGAAAAAUACAAAAAAUAGAAGUGAUGUGUGCUAGAGCAGACGUCUUCUAAAUUACAAAUAGGUACAAUAAUUUAAAAACAUAGCUUCAUCAGUUUGUGUAUGCUUGUAAACUUCCAUGAAUUCAGGGUGUUAGUAACAUCGUAACGAAAACUUUGAGGGAUGAUUCUGACCAUGAAUCUGAGCUGAUAUCAAGUAGAAUAAUAAUUGUCUGUCGCAAAAGUAUAGAACUAGAAAAUAAAAAUCUAAAAUUUUUAUGUAUUUUUCGACAGGAAAUUCCAAGUGGAAUAUCAAGUGAUAUCAACUCAGAAUCAUGGUCUGAAUCAUUCCCAUCUGUAUUCGUUACGGUGUCACUAACAUCCUACAUGAACGACUUACCAGCCUGCGAUGAGAGUGAGCGAUGGGAGUCAUCGGUAUGGCAAUGCAGGACGGAAGGCAAGUCACAGGGACUGUAACCUGGAACCUGACAGAGGGCAGCAGUAACUGUCAGGAGUUCUAGUACGGCUUUGAAUUAGACUACUCUGGUACCUCUCGCGUCUGAUAGAGUACUGCGGAGCGGAUGGCAAGAGCAAAACCGCUGCCCUAUAUUUCCCAAAAAAAGUAGCAUGGAGAAUGCUACACCGACAAGAGCGUGGCUCUUAAUUCAAAUUCAAAUUCAAAAAUAUCUUUAUUCAGUAGGUAACAUAGUUACACUUUGAAUCGUCAAUUUUUACAUAACGAACGUCUCAUCCGCCUAAAACUACUGCAGCUUCUCACAACCUGUAUAGCCGGGGAAAAGAAGCUGCAAGAAAAGUAAUGAUGAUGAGUAGCACACAUCACAGUAGGUACCUACUUUAUCCACCUUUAUUUCCGACAAUUUUUUGGCGUUAGUGUAGUAGGUAGAUACCUAAAUAAAUCUUACUUUGUCCUGAUUCGCCCGUGUAAAUGUUAGGCUAGUUUGGGUAUAAUUGUUACUGCCAUAUGUCAACGUGCGACUGAAUGAUAUUGUCUAGUGCAUUUUAUAGUUAUUGAGUGUAACUUGCUUAUAUCUAGUCUGAAAUAAAGUACCUAAUUUAA
rnacentral:lncRNA from 1 species